rnacentral:rRNA from 1 species
CCGGAUUCAUUGGGUUUAAAGGGUGCGUAGGCGGAUUGAUAAGUCAGCGGUGAAACUCACAGGCUCAACCUGUGCCGUGCCGUUGAAACUGUUAAUCUUGAAUGCGGAUGCUGUGGGAGGAAUGUGUAGUGUAGCGGUGAAAUGCAUAGAUAUUACACAGAACACCGAUUGCGAAGGCAUCUCACAAAGCCGUGAUUGACGCUGAGGCACGAAAGUGUGGGGAUCAAACAGGAUUAGAUACCCUGGUAGUCCACUACUGUAAACGAUGAUAACUCGCUGCCGGCGAUAUAAAGUCGGUGGCCCAGCGAAAGCGAUAAGUUAUCCACCUGGGGAGUACGACCGCAAGGUUGAAACUCAAAGGAAUUGACGGGGGCCCGCACAAGCGGAGGAACAUGUGGUUUAAUUCGAUGAUACGCGAGGAACCUUACC